rnacentral:rRNA from 1 species
AUGCAACUCGUCACCUACGGUCGGACGGCUAGCAACAUCAACGGCGAGAUAGCACCCUACUUCCCCACCCUAUGUGGGGUGCGCCAGGGUGACCCAUUCUCCCUGUCCCUCUUUAACAUGGUUGUUGAUGCCCUCACGGUCAUCCUUGAUAAGGCCAAAGCAUGCGGCAAUAUCCGGGGCGUUGUCCCCCUUCUUGUGAACAGAGGAGGGGUUUCCCUCCUCCAAUAUGCGGACGACACCAUAGUCAUGGUGGAGGGCUCCGUGUCCGACAUUGCCAACCUGAAGUUCCUCCUCCUGUGCUUCCAACUGAUGUUGGGGUUCACCAUCAACUUCGACAAGAGCAAAGUGAUGGUCCUCGGUGAGGGAGUCCUGGAUUAG